GCGGCUCCCGGUGAAGAAGAUCCGUAAGCAGAUGAAGCUGCUGCUGCUGCUGCUGCUGCUGAGCUGCGCCGCGUGGCUCACCUACGUGCACCUGGGCCUGGUGCGCCAGGGACGCGCGCUGCGCCAGCGCCUGGGCUACGGGCGAGUGGUGAGAAGCUGACCAGUGAGACCGACGGCCGGGGGGUCCACGCUGCGCCAUCCACACAGAGGGCUGAGGACUCCAGUGAGAGCCGUGAAGAGGAGCAAGCGCCGAAGGUCGGGACCUAGACAUGCUGUUUCCUGGGGGGGCUGGGAGGCUGCCACUGAACUUCACCCAUCAGACACCCCCAUGGCGGGAGGAGACAAGGGGCAGGUGAACCUGCACGUGUUUGAGGACUGGUGUGGGGGCGCCGUGGGCCACCUGAGGAGGAACCUGCACUUCCCGCUGUUCCC
rnacentral:lncRNA from 1 species